rnacentral:misc_RNA from 1 species
UUUCCGUAGGUGAACCUGCGGAAGGAUCAUUACUGAAGGGAAGUGACAGGCCUUUGGUCCUGUUUAACAUCACCCUUGUUUUUUUGGCGCUUUGUUGUUUCCUCGGCAGCUUUGUCUGCCGAUGGCGACCCUAUAAACCUUGCAAUAUUACAGUAUAACUCGGUCAAGACGUAACCGUAACAACUUUCAACAAUGGAUCUCUUGGCUCUGGCAUCGAUGAAGAACGCAGC